AUUGAACGCUGGCGGCAGGCUUAACACAUGCAAGUCGAGCGGAGAUGAGGUGCUUGCACCUUAUCUUAGCGGCGGACGGGUGAGUAAUGCUUAGGAAUCUGCCUAUUAGUGGGGGACAACAUUCCGAAAGGAAUGCUAAUACCGCAUACGUCCUACGGGAGAAAGCAGGGGAUCUUCGGACCUUGCGCUAAUAGAUGAGCCUAAGUCGAAUUAGCUAGUUGGUGGGGUAAAGGCCUACCAAGGCGACGAUCUGUAGCGGGUCUGAGAGGAUGAUCCGCCACACUGGGACUGAGACACGGCCCAGACUCCUAUGGGAGGCAGCAGUGGAGAAUAUUGGACAAUGGGGGGAACCCUGAUCCAGCCAUGCCGCGUGUGUGAAGAAGGCCUUAUGGUUGUAAAGCACUUUAAGCGAGGAGGAGGCUACUGAGACUAAUACUCUUGGAUAGUGGACGUUACUCGCAGAAUAAGCACCGGCUAACUCUGUGCCAGCAGCCGCCGCCGUAA
rnacentral:rRNA from 1 species